CAGCGUUGAUGGUUCGCUAUAGACGCGAUUGAAAAGGGAAUGGAGUGAAAAUCUCCGACUGUCUCGCAGCUGUGAGUUCCUUUUAAGCCGCCAAGCGACACACCACUGCCCUCUGCACGGGCGGGAAGGUGCUUGGCGACGGAACAAAGUCAGAAGACCUGCCUCAAUUU
rnacentral:ncRNA from 1 species